GCCGAGGUCGCAUAGCCUGGCCAUUGCGGAGGAUUGCUAAUCCUCUGUCCGAAAGGGCACGGGAGUUCAAAUCUCCCCCUCGGCG
rnacentral:tRNA from 1 species